rnacentral:rRNA from 1 species
UACGUAGGGGGCAAGCGUUGUCCGGAAUCAUUGGGCGUAAAGCGCGUGUAGGCGGUUCGGUAAGUCUGCUGUGAAAGUCCAGGGCUCAACCCUGGGAUGCCGGUGGAUACUGUCGGACUAGAGUACGGAAGAGGCGAGUGGAAUUCCCGGUGUAGCGGUGAAAUGCGCAGAUAUCAGGAGGAACACCGGUGGCGAAGGCGGGUCUCUGGGCGUGACACUGACGCUGAAGCGCGAAAGCCAGGGGAGCGAACGGG